UACGGAGGGGGCUAGCGUUGUUCGGAAUUACUGGGCGUAAAGCGCGCGUAGGCGGCUACCUAAGUCGGAUGUGAAAGCCCCUGGCUUAACUGGGGAAGUGCACCCGAAACUGAGUAGCUAGAGUGCGAAAGAGGGUCGCGGAAUUCCCGGUGUAGAGGUGAAAUUCGUAGAUAUCGGGAGGAACACCGGUGGCGAAGGCGGCGACCUGGGUCGACACUGACGCUGAGGCGCGAAAGCGUGGGGAGCAAACAGG
rnacentral:rRNA from 1 species